AUUAUCCAUGCAGUGGACCUUGUAGUGUACCCUACUUCUAACUUCCUCCUUGCCUGCCAGCCUCAUUUCAACUUUGCCAUAGCCCUGUGAAAUGAACUAAGGACGAUCAUUUUUGCCUCCCUUUGAUUAUCAAGGUACCAUCCAGUGAGCAAAACAGACAACCCCUAUCACUCCCAUUAAAAAUGCUGGCAGCAGGAAGAGCUGAAGCCAGGUGAAUCCGGUGGCCAAGAGACCAGGGCAGCAAGCCGUCUACACGCCACACGGCACAGUCCGCAUCCAAGCCACCCUCUGAUGACACAUGCUUGAGCAAGCCCAGCCAACAUCAGCAGAUGCUAA